UCCUCAUUCCUCUUCAGAUCGUAUAAAUCUUUCGCCUUUUACUAAAGAUUUCCGUGGAGGGUAACGUUAUGAGUAUCAACUAAUUUUUGAUGCCCUACUUGAAUUGGGA
rnacentral:snRNA from 1 species